UACGUAGGGUGCGAGCGUUAAUCGGAAUUACUGGGCGUAAAGCGUGCGCAGGCGGUUCGUUAAGUCAGCUGUGAAAGCCCCGGGCUCAACCUGGGAAUUGCGGUUGAAACUGGCGAACUAGAAUCUGGCAGAGGGGGGUGGAAUUCCACGUGUAGCAGUGAAAUGCGUAGAGAUGUGGAGGAAUACCGAUGGCGAAGGCAGCCCCCUGGGGUAACACUGACGCUCAUGCACGAAAGCGUGGGGAGCAAACAGG
rnacentral:rRNA from 1 species